UAGGAAGGGGGCUAGCGUUGUUCGGAUUUACUGGGCGUAAAGCGCACGUAGGCGGAUCGAUCAGUCAGGGGUGAAAUCCCAGAGCUCAACUCUGGAACUGCCUUUGAUACUGUCGAUCUGGAGUAUGGAAGAGGUGAGUGGAAUUCCGAGUGUAGAGGUGAAAUUCGUAGAUAUUCGGAGGAACACCAGUGGCGAAGGCGGCUCACUGGUCCAUUACUGACGCUGAGGUGCGAAAGCGUGGGGAGCAAACAGG
rnacentral:rRNA from 1 species